rnacentral:lncRNA from 1 species
GCUGCAGGACGGUGUGCGCAGGGUCGGCCCCGGCCGCCGCCGCUCUAGGCCUCAGGCGUCCACCUCAGCUGCACUUCCGCCGGCGCUGCGUGUUUGGAGCAGUGUUCCGCUCUCGUGGCUGCACUUUCCGCGUGUCCUCCCAAUCUGCCGGCAUCCGCGCACCUCCGCGCCUUCCCACACUCUUGGCUGUAUCUCCGCCGUUGUCCCGUGCGGUCUGUUGCAGCCUCCUCGGCCCUGCGCAGAUGAAGACCCUCCCCCGGACGGCUUUGCGGGCCCUGCCUCAGCCGGCGCCCCCUUCUCUCCUGCAGGACCCGGACCCGCGCUGCAGGGGCUGAGUGCCCCCUGGGUAAGUGCUGCUGCUCCUGGGGGCUGUGGCCUUCCUGCCCCAGCGCAGCGGGGUGGUUCUGGGGCUCCGGGGGGCGGGGGGAAUGUGGGAGUUGUCUGCCAAGUCCUGGUGCAGGAGGAUGGGGCUGGGACUGGGGGCCAGAAGGGCCUGGGGUCAGAGCCUGACUCAGCUCGUCGUUAUCUGUGGGAUCUGGGGUGAGUUAUUUCUUUCUCCUGAGCUUUACUUUCUUUGGAGUGGGAGUUGGGGCGGGGGCGGGGGGGGGGCAGAGGCCUGGUCUGUGUUUUCCUUUUUGACCCCAUAAUGCCUGGUCCACAGUAGGUACUCAGCUGGUAUUUGUGGGGUGAGAAGCAAUUGAGGCAUUGUCAUCUGAAGUUGGUCUUCCCCAGCCCUGACUUGAUGAGGGGAGAUGGGCUGUGGCCAUGAAGUGAGGGUGGCCCUUGGGGUCCUGGGUCUGGCUGGGCCUGUUCCCCCAGGCUGGGUGGAGAGCCGGCUGCUGAUGUGGGCUCCUCUGCCUGGCUCUCCUCGUGCCCUUCUCUGCCCCAGCCUUUGAAAGUGGUCAUGGGCUGCCAGUGCCCCAGUCGUUGAUAGCACAGGGAGAGGACCACAGGGAGAGGACCGGCUGAAAGCACUUCCCCGUUUGGAGGUCCUGUUCCGUCCCUUAGAAACUCUGGAGCUUUCCCACACUUUCCCCCUCCCACCGCCUUUUAGAGGCCUCCUGGCACCUGGAGUCUAGUCUGUUGAAUGCCCUCUGCCUGGCUCAGUGCUGGUUUCUGUGAUGUGAGCCUUUAAGAAAGGAGAAUGGGGCAUUCCCAUCGUGACUAGGAUCCAUGAGGAUGCGGGUUCAAUCCCUGGCCUUGCUCAGUGGGUUGAGGAUCCGGUGUUUCUGUGAACUGCGGUGUAGUUUGCAGACACAGCUCGGAUUCUGCGUUGCUGUGGCUGUGGUGUAGGCCAGCAGCUAGAGCUCUGAUUCGACCCCUAGCCUGGGAACUUCCACAUGGUGCCAUUGCCGCCCUCCCUAAAAAGCAGGAAAAAAAAAAGAAAAAAGAAAAAAAAAAAAAAGAAAAGGGGGAAAAUCACAGCUGUGGUCUCCUGACUCUAGUCUCCAAUCUCUGCAGCUCCAUGGCCUUUCCUGCCUUUGGGUUUGAAGUGAUUACAGGCUGCCUGUGACCCGGUCAUUGGUCAUACAGGCAGAGGAAAG